UUGAAUCCGCACUUCUGACAGAUAACUCACGUAAACAAACACAUUAGAAUGUAGCUUUAAAUUUCGAACAGAGCUUUUUAAUUUGUGAUUUGCAUUCCUUCUUCAUUUUCCUCAGGUCCUCUCAUUGAGAAGGAACUGUUAUUCAGUUUUUGUAUUAUUCGUUUGGAUAGAAUUGAUCGGUGCCGCAAGUUUCAAUGACAACCACCAUCGACACUUCAAUACGACCAUGACUGCUAAUAAAGAGCAUCAUCAUGUUCAUUUCAAUGAGGGAAAUGAUACUUUUGGCCGAGAUAAUGAAAUCAUAAUCAAGCCUGGCGCAGAACCUAACAUUUUCCAGAUUCAUUUGGGUUUCCUCCAAAUUAACCACCGCUAUGCAAUCUCCUUCUCCUCCUCAAAGACAAUGAUGAGGGUCAAAGACGGUGCAAAACUUGUACCAGUCUCACCCACAGUCCCGAACUUCAACUGUACUUUCUCCAAGAUAGAGGUUGACGCAAACCAAGUCAAUUUUUUCGUUGAGCUCUUUGCUCACAAGGAGAAAUUGUUGAAAGAAGAACUGGCAUUUCAGAUGAAUAAUGAGGGGGAUAAAACAAUCUUGCAGCUCACAGCUAGAGUUCUAGGUAAAGGAAAGGGCACUCCUCUCCUGAAGGACAACAUCCAUUGCAUCGGAGUUGAACAAGAUGAAGAUGAAUCGGAGGCUUCCGAUUGGCAAGGAUUUCCAGAGGGAUAGACAAUGGAUGAUGUCUACUGAAAUUUUUUGCCGGCCUCAAUCCUUCUAACAUAUUUCUCUCGAGUCUGACACAGAAUUCGUGCACAUACCUGACUCGAGCGGGUAGAAGAUGGAAUUAGUUUAACUCUCUCAAGACCAAGGUCGUAUCGAUACCUCUUCUACUCCAAGACUAUUGACUAUCUAUUAUCUAACCUUUUGUUCCUUGGGUGCCUCUUCUGAGACGACUGUUACCGUCGUUGUCUCGGGUUUUUGUGCCUCUUUAUCACCAUCACUCUUGCUGUUGCUGUUGCCGUUGCUGCUCGGCUUGCUGGCCUCGGGCGGCUUUUGGUCCCAUUUCUUCUUGAAAAUCGCCUUGACGGAAAUUUUCGGUUUCGUGUCCUUCUUGCCUUUAUCUUCGCCAGGACGAUGGUUCAUACUCUCGGUAUCACUUCUGGCGGAAAAGAUAGUAGUUGCUGUACACCGAUAUUGGCAUCGAAAACUCUCACAGUAUUUUUAUAUUGUAGCUAGCGUCUUUGUUCAGAAGAAUAAAUUAUCAAGUUCAAUUAUCA